rnacentral:rRNA from 1 species
AUUCGGGGAGGUAGUGACAAGAAAUAACGAUACGGGGUCUUUACAGGUYUCGCAAUYGGAAUGAGUACAAUUUAAAUCCUUUAACGAGGAUCCAAUGGAGGGCAAGUCUGGUGCCAGCAGCCGCGGUAAUUCCAGCUCCAUUAGCGUAUAUUAAAGUUGUUGCAGUUAAAAAGCUCGUAGUUGGAUUUCAGUAUGGGCCAGUUGGUCGGCCGCAAGGCCUGUUACUGACUGGUCUGUUCUUCUUCUCWRAGACUGCGCGUGCUCUUCGCUGAGUGUGUGUAGGAUUUGGGACGUUUACUUUGAAAAAAUUAGAGUGUUCAAGGCAGGCUUGUAAGCUUGAAUACAUGAGCRUGGAAUAAUGGAAUAGGACUACGGUCCCUAUUUCGUUGGUUUCGAGGACCSAAGUAAUGAUUAAGAGGGACAGUUGGGGGCAUCCGUAUUUC